UGGGGAAUUUUGGACAAUGGGGGCAACCCUGAUCCAGCCAUGCCGCGUGAGUGAAGAAGGCCUUCGGGUUGUAAAGCUCUUUCGGACAGAAAGAAAACUUAGUCGCUAAUACCGGCUGAGGAUGACGGUACUGUAAGAAGAAGCACCGGCUAACUACGUGCCAGCAGCCGCGGUAAUACGUAGGGUGCGAGCGUUAAUCGGAAUUACUGGGCGUAAAGCGUGCGCAGGCGGUUUUGUAAGACAGACGUGAAAUCCCCGGGCUUAACCUGGGAACUGCGUUUGUGACUGCAAGGCUAGAGUACGGCAGAGGGGGGUAGAAUUCCACGUGUAGCAGUGAAAUGCGUAGAUAUGUGGAGGAAUACCGAUGGCGAAGGCAGCCCCCUGGGUCGAUACUGACGCU
rnacentral:rRNA from 1 species